CUUUGCAAUGCGCGAAAGCGUGACAGGGGAACUCCGAGUGGCAGAGGGCUAAUGCUUUCUGUCUUUUGGCUAAUCUAAAUCGUUAGCAGAAUAAGAUCUGGGUAAGACCAGUGCCAGCCGCCAUGCUAUGCUUUUUGCACCAGCAUCGGCACGGUACGCGGUAAUACUGGCAGAGCGAGUGGCACCCACGAAUAUUGGGUCUAAAGAGUCCGUAGCGGGUCUAUUAAGUCUACUGUGAAAUCCGGCUGCUCAACAGCCGGGCGUGCAGUAGAUACUGAUAGGCUUGGGAGUGGGGGAGGUCAGGAGUACUUGUGGGGUAGUGGUAAAAUACUGUAAUCCUACAAGGACUACCAGUGGCGAAGGCGCCUGACCAAAACACGUCCGACCGUGAGGGACGAAGGCUAGGAGAACGAAUCGGAUUAGAUACCCGAGUAGCCCUAGCUAGUAAAUAAUGCAGACUGUGGUGUUGCAAGGACUUCGUGUCCUUGCAGUGCUGUAGCGUAGGUGUUAAGUCUGCCAC
rnacentral:rRNA from 1 species